UCCGGUUUGACACCGGCAGUCUCCCAUGAGUCCCCAACUAAAUGCUGGCAACAUGGAACGAGGGUUGCGCUCGUUGCGGGACUUAACCCAACAUCUCACGACACGAGCUGACGACAGCCAUGCACCACCUGUACACCAGUGUCCAAAGAGACCCACAUCUCUGCAGGCUUCUGGUGUAUGUCAAACCCAGGUAAGGUUCUUCGCGUUGCAUCGAAUUAAACCACAUGCUCCACCGCUUGUGCGGGUCCCCGUCAAUUCCUUUGAGUUUUAAUCUUGCGACCGUACUCCCCAGGCGGGAUACUUAAUGCGUUAGCUUCGGCACGGCAGUCGUUGGUACAACCGCCACACCUAGUAUCCAACGUUUACAGCGUGGACUAC
rnacentral:misc_RNA from 1 species